GAUGCAUCGGAACUUGCCAUUGAGUGGGGGAUAACGUAGCGAAAGUUACGCUAAUACCGCAUAUUCUGUGAGCAGGAAAGCAGGGGACCGCAAGGCCUUGCACUCUUUGAGCGGCCGAUGUCAGAUUAGCUAGUUGGUGAGGUAAAGGCUUACCAAGGCGACGAUCUGUAGCGGGUCUGAGAGGAUGAUCCGCCACACUGGAACUGAGACACGGUCCAGACUCCUACGGGAGGCAGCAGUGGGGAAUUUUGGACAAUGGGCGCAAGCCCGAUCCAGCCAUGCCGCGUGAGUGAAGAAGGCCUUCGGGUUGUAAAGCUCUUUCGGCCGGGAAGAAAUCGCAUGGGUUAAUACCCUGUGUGGAUGACGGUACCGGAAUAAGAAGCACCGGCUAACUACGUGCCAGCAGCCGCGGUAAUACGUAGGGUGCGAGCGUUAAUCGGAAUUACUGGGCGUAAAGCGUGCGCAGGCGGUUCUGUAAGACAGGCGUGAAAUCCCCGGGCUUAACCUGGGAACUGCGUUUGUGACUGCAAGACUAGAGUACGGCAGAGGGGGGUGGAAUUCCACGUGUAGCAGUGAAAUGCGUAGAGAUGUGGAGGAACACCAAUGGCGAAGGCAGCCCCCUGGGUCGAUACUGACGCUCAUGCACGAAAGCGUGGGUAGCAAACAGGAUUAGAUACCCUGGUAGUCCACGCCCUAAACUAUGUCAACUAGGUGUUGGGUGGGUAAAACCAUUUAGUACCGUAGCUAACGCGUGAAGUUGACCGCCUGGGGAGUACGGCCGCAAGGUUAAAACUCAAAGGAAUUGACGGGGACCCGCACAAGCGGUGGAUGAUGUGGAUUAAUUCGAUGCAACGCGAAAAACCUUACCUACCCUUGACAUGCCAGGAACUUGCCAGAGAUGGCUUGGUGCCCGAAAGGGAGCCUGGACACAGGUGCUGCAUGGCUGUCGUCAGCUCGUGUCGUGAGAUGUUGGGUUAAGUCCCGCAACGAGCGCAACCCUUGUCGUUAAUUGCCAUCAUUUAGUUGGGCACUUUAGCGAGACUGCCGGUGACAAACCGGAGGAAGGUGGGGAUGACGUCAAGUCCUCAUGGCCCUUAUGGGUAGGGCUUCACACGUCAUACAAUGGUCGGUACAGAGGGUUGCCAACCCGCGAGGGGGAGCCAAUCCCAGAAAGCCGAUCGUAGUCCGGAUUGCAGGCUGCAACUCGCCUGCAUGAAGUCGGAAUCGCUAGUAAUCGCGGAUCAGCAUGCCGCGGUGAAAGCGUUCCCGGGUCUUGUACACACCGCCCGUCACACCAUGGGAGCGGGUUCCGCCAGAAGUAGGUAGCCUAACCGCAAGGAGGGCGCUUACCACGGCGGGGUUCGUGACUGGGGUGAAGUCGAAACAAGGUA
rnacentral:rRNA from 1 species